GGCUGGUCCAAAGGUAGUGAGUUAUCUCAAUCGACUACUCACAGUUUCAGAUCUAACUCCUUGUUCUACUCCUUCCCCUCUUCUUGUACUACACUCAGUCUUUA
ensembl:misc_RNA Y_RNA Y RNA